AAAGAAGUUAUCACAUUAGGACAGACUCAUAUCAUAUUAGAUAGCUUUUGAAGGAAAAAAAAAUGUUUCUACCAAAGUACAGUGUGAUAGAAUUGAUGUCAGUGAUAUAUCUAGAACAAUAAUAUUGUUUACUUAGACACCAUCUGUUAGUUAAUAAAGUAGGCUUCUAGUUUAGACACUCAAAGUAAAUAAUAUUAAGACUUCCCAAUAUUACCCACAGUUUAAAAUACUAAUUCAUGUAAAGAUUAUAUAUAGAACUAUGCUUACUCUCUGCCUAAUACUUAUUCAAAACCCUUUCUCACUGCAGCUGGUAAUGUUGUUUCUAACCACAGCCUGCAAGUGCAGAAGGCUGGGGAUGUGGAACAAUUGGCAUUGUUAAAGGUAACAGGGAGAGCUUUCAUCCAAAACAUGCUAUGUAUCCCACAGAUGCUGUUGUAGCUCUGUGCUGGCAAUGAUAAAUGAUGUACAAAAUGAGUGAAUGCUGAGACACAGACAUACAUAGAAAAGGAAUUUAAGAAGAAUUCCUUGACAGCGGGACACAUCUGAUUUUACAAAGAGAACAGACAUAAAUACAGCAAGCAGUGAUUCUGUGCUAGUUGAGGUGCUCCAGCUUACAUAUCCAUCAUCUGGCAUUGUUCCCUUUGAGGACUAUGUUCUGCUUCACUGCUCUUCUAUCUCCUGGCAACGUUGCCUAGUGGUGUUUUCUCAUAAUAUUACAGAUGCUGAAGAAUCAUAUCUCCUCUUCAACAGUAUUUUGUGUUCUGGACAGGAGAUUCCUGAAUGUCGGAGCAAGACCUGCAGAGAUAGUCUGAACUUAUUUUCCUUUCUUUUCAGAAAAAUUAUGUUAAAAAACAUGAUAAAAAUAUGUAUGAGAGUUUCUCAAUUUCCACAUAGGAACGGAUGCUAAAACUUUGUAGUCUGGGUGAAGAAGCACAAAAAAGGAGAGAACAGUUUUCUGAGGAAGUCAACAUUUUCUAAUUCAAGCAGAAAACUUCAAGAUAAAUAAAAUUGCCAACUGAAGGAGCAUUUAUUCCUGAAGCUACUAAUGGAAAAAUCUAAAAAUGUUUUAAAGGAUUUUCUUGUGUAUUUGUUGUUGUUGUUGUUGUUUAUUUAUUUAUUUUUAUUAUUAUUAUUACUUUUUACUUUUAACAUUAGUAGGAUAUAUUAAGUCUGGCAAAAUGUCAUGGUUGUUUUUUGUUGUUUGUUUGUUUGUUUGUUUUUAACUUUUCAGACUUCUCAGGAAGUUUUGUCUUCCAUAGUCACUACAGAAGUGCUACUGUAAUCUAGAGUUCUGGUUUCUUCCCAAAAUAUCCUCAAUUUCUUUUUGAGAACACAAGAAAUUUAUAAAUUGUAUAUAAAUAAAUAAACUGUAUAUAAAUAAUUGUUCGAAUUUUCAUAAAAUGACUGAAAAUAAAACUUAAUUAUUAUGAAAUAAUUAUAAUCCAGAUACAUGAAUUCAAAG
rnacentral:lncRNA from 1 species